rnacentral:rRNA from 1 species
CCCUAGUAACUGCGAGUGAAGCGGGAAAAGCUCAAAUUUAGAAUCUGGUGGUCUUAGACUAUCCGAGUUGUAAUCUAGAGAAGUGUUAUCCGCGUUGGACCGUGUACAAGUCUCCUGGAAUGGAGCGUCAUAGAGGGUGAGAAUCCCGUCUUUGACACGGACUGCCAGGGCUUUGUGAUGCGCUCUCAAAGAGUCGAGUUGUUUGGGAAUGCAGCUCAAAAUGGGUGGUAAAUUCCAUCUAAAGCUAAAUAUUGGCGAGAGACCGAUAGCGAACAAGUACCGUGAGGGAAAGAUGAAAAGAACUUUGGAAAGAGAGUUAAACAGUACGUGAAAUUGCUGAAAGGGAAACGCUUGAAGUCAGUCGCGUUGUCCGGAAAUCAACCUUGCUUUUGCUGGGUGUACUUUCUGGUUAACGGGUCAGCAUCAAUUUUGAUCGUUGGAUAAAGUCUAGGGGAAUGUGGCAUCUUCGGAUGUGUUAUAGCCCUUGGUCGCAUACAACGGUUGGGAUUGAGGAACUCAGCACGCCGCAAGGCCGAGUAUUUAUACUACGUUCGUGCUUAGGAUGCUGGCAUAAUGGCUUUAAUCGACCCGUCUUGAAACACGGACCAAGGAGUCUAACAUGCCUGCAAGUGUUUGGGUGGAAAACCCGAGCGCGUAAUGAAAGUGAAAGUUGAGAUCCCUGUCGUGGGGAGCAUCGACGCCCGGACUUGACCUUUUGUGACGGAUCCGCGGUAGAGCAUGUAUGUUGGGACCC